rnacentral:rRNA from 1 species
GACGAACGCUGGCGACGCGCCUAACACAUGCAAGUCGAACGGAGCUGAGAGAAGCUUGCUUUUCUUAGCUUAGUGGCGAACGGGUGAGUAACGCGUGAGUAACCUGCCCUGGAGUGGGGGACAACAGUUGGAAACGACUGCUAAUACCGCAUAAGCCCACGAUCCGGCAUCGGAUUGAGGGAAAAGGAUUUAUUCGCUUCAGGAUGGACUCGCGUCCAAUUAGCUAGUUGGUGAGGUAACGGCCCACCAAGGCGACGAUUGGUAGCCGGACUGAGAGGUUGAACGGCCACAUUGGGACUGAGACACGGCCCAGACUCCUACGGGAGGCAGCAGUGGGGGAUAUUGCACAAUGGGGGAAACCCUGAUGCAGCGACGCCGCGUGGAGGAAGAAGGUUUUCGGAUUGUAAACUCCUGUCGUUAGGGACGAUAAUGACGGUACCUAACAAGAAAGCACCGGCUAACUACGUG